rnacentral:rRNA from 1 species
AAUUCGACUAUGUUGUUUAAAGUUCUAGAUAGUAAACUGAUUAUGACAAAACGCUAUCUAUGUGUCUUGGCUAAAUCUCGUGCCAGCAGCCGCGGUAAUACGAGUAAGACUAGUGUUAUUCAUCUUUAUUAGGUUUAAAGGGUACCUAGACGGUAUAUAGACCUAGAAUAUAAAAUAGGUACAUUUAUACUAGAGUUAUAAAGAAGAGGUAGAUUUAGAGCUAUUAGUGUAAUUAAGAGAUGAAAUGUUUUUAAACUAAUAGAACUGAUAAGUGAAAACAACCCUUUAUUAU